AACCGAACUGAGCACAGUUCAGCUGAUCUGUUUUGAAAUCAGUAUCACAUUCGGAUACGAGCAGUACGGUUGUGUGUUGUAGAGUUCUAUCCAAGUUCGACACUGGCGAGACUGUAAUAAAUUUUCGUCGUUUCUGAACGAAUUUUCAAAUCGAAGAGCUUGCAGAGUUUCAAAUUACCGUUACGCGAAAUUUUCUCGUUGUUUUGCCAAACUCGGAACCUGAACAGAAAAAGAAUGCUAUAAUUUUUGUCUAUGGUGGCUUGGUGCAGCAAAUCAAAUACAGCAGCAAUCGCGGUCAAAACAAAACGCAAACCAAAAAACAAAAGAGUAACACAACUGUAAUGAACAUUUGAUUAUCGUGUUUGUGGUGUAAUAAUAAUAUGAGACGCAAUCAAAACUCAAUGACUGUGUAACGAAUGAUACCAAAUGCAGCAGCGAAACUGAAUAGAAUGAGUCGUUAAUCUGCGAAUGCACUUUGACACAUUACAGCACACGCACCGAAAAAGAGCGAGUUAGUGUAUGUGAUGUUGUUUGUUGAAAAAGGAGACAGUCAAUCGGGACACUGCACAUCGGAUGCAGCGGAUUGGUUUCGAGCGUGUAACAAAAAGCAGAUAAAUUAGUUAGAACUACCUCGUACAUCGAGGAUAAAAUAGGUCGUUUUUGGUCGCAUCAAAUUGCAACAACGAUGAGCGCACAGCGAGAAAACUGAGCAAUGUGAAAAUGGUAAUGGAACUACAUUUCUGAGCGCACACACUACGGUGCAUUUAUUUUUAUUGUUAUGUGGAAAAGUGGUUUACAGCUAUUAAUUAUAAAUUAAUGCGAUCGUGUCGGUAGUUUUUUUUAUUUAUACUUAGGUGAUAUAAGUAAGAAAAAAGAGAGAGAAAAAACCAUUUGGUAGUAAUUCCAAGAAAUUAAAUGGUGAAUACGGAAAUAAGCGCUCUGAGAAAUUGUCCGAAAUAAGUUGUAAACGAAGGUGAAACGAAAAGAAAAGCGAAAAUUAUUUACUUAUGAAGAGGCUGAUUUUUGUGUUCUGUGUCUGUCGUUAGUGAAUUCUCCGAAGAACAAACAAGUCGGAAAAGCGUGAGAAAAAAGUACGUGGUAACAAAAUAUCAUUCGGAAUUAGAAUCGGCUUUGUCAAACCGGAAUUAAAUAAAAGUGAGUGAAAAAGCUGAGUGAGAGCUUAACGUCAAUUUUCGGGUCGUUUGGUAACGAAGUGUUGUGAUUUAAUGGGCCAAUCGAUGCAGUAGACACACCAUUUACCAUUUGAGAAAGUCAGCGAAUUUAAUUGUGUGCAGAAAGUGAAACAAUCAAGAACUGAAAAAAGACACUGCGGCAAAGCAAAAAAAAACAAAAACACCCUCAAAUAGACAAAAACGAGCACAAUCGACAGAAAAGAAAAGCCAAGUAUACACAGUAACAACCACAUUCAACGGUUAUUUUUUUUCCUGACUAAUAGGCAGUUUGAAAAUCGGGCUUGCCGAGAAAGUGAUACGUGAAUUUGAGUAAAGAAAUGAAAAGAAAUAAAGUGGUAGCACAAUUUACUUUAUUUGCAUACUUUAUACACAUUUAAGCCGAAAGAUUGUUCGAUAAAAAUCUCACUCUUACGCGCGGCUCACAACCUCAUUUCGAGAUUUGCGCUGGAAGCUAUGGAAGCAAACACAAAUACUUGAAUCAAUGGACGAUAAGCAUCAAUCGUAAGAAAGAAAAAAAGAAAGUAGUUGUCGAAAAAGUUUCUUUUUUCUCUUGGGAAAAUUGUUCGGAAUAUAAAACCGAAUUGAAAGCUUCGUACACUCGACAGAGACACGUGAAUCCGGUCCAGUGAAAACGAUUGUAAUCAACCGUGUAACACGUCGAACGCGGAUUAACAAACAACAUAGCGGCCAAAUAGAAAUAAUCCGGAUUUUCCAAGAAUCACGAACAACAACAGCCAUUACAAUGGGUUUACCAUCAAUAAUACCGAGCAAUGGAAGCUUUUUGCCGUCACCAACCGGUGGCCAACAUCUCAACGAAUGCAGCGAAGAUGAGCCCGACUGCGAUAGAUACAAACCAUAUGAUGAACGGCCCGAAACUUACAUUGUUCCUUUUAUUUUUAGCAUAAUUUUUGUGGUGGGCGUCGUUGGCAAUGGGACGCUAAUUGUUAUUUUUU